rnacentral:lncRNA from 1 species
GGGCUAUUGUGUGUAGGUUGAUGAGGAAACAUUUUUAUUUAAUCCAUUUUAGAAUAAGGCUGUAACGUAACAAAAUGUGGGAAAAAAUCCAGGGGUCCGAAUGCACUGUAGAAGUGCACUGUUACAUCUGAUUAUGUAUUGGCGCCACUGAUUGGUGCCUUAGAUUCUUAUUCUCUCUUCUCUGAUUAGAUCGUGUGGUUGCUGGGGCUAAUUCAUUUGCAUAGAUGCCGCUGAUUGGUGGCUUGGAUUCCUACAAUCUGUUUAAUUGGAUCAUGUGUAUUGCUGGUGCUUGUUCGUUGGAUGCAUUUGUUUUAGCUCGCCCGCUGUGGAUUUUAACCUUCUAUCAAUCACAUGUUCUAUUUUAUUCCCUUCAUCUUCUCUACUAUCUUACAUACUUCAGGACCCGGCUGUUGCAGUUGAUCUUCUAGGAGGUGUAGACAUUCUCAGGAGUGUCCUUUGCGAAGAGGUGUGAGGCUUUCAGGUGGACAUCAAGGCAUAGUGAGGACACAAAAUAAUUUAAGCUCAACCUACUACUGGAGUGCGAUUACUGCUGACGCCAAGAAAUGGCUCAACAGAGCUAUCUUACAGAAGUUUGGAAUCAAACACUGUGUCUCGUCUGCCUACCAUCCUCAGACAAAUGGACAAGACGAAGCAAACCGUCAAAAGGACUCUGACGAAAUACUGUGAAGACCAUCCAGAAGAAUGGGAUCUCCAUUUGAAGGGUGUUGUGUGUGCCAUCAACACCUCAUCACAGGCAUCCACAAAGCACUCUCCCUACUUUGUGCUUUUUCACCUGCACCCAAAAAUGCCAGAGGCACUGAAUGCAUGUCCCAUGGAAACGUGACACAAGGAAAGACGCCAAGAGGAGGGGGGAAUCAAAGAAGCUUGUAAGCCAUUGUAAAAGAGGUGUCUGAGAAAGGUGUUGCUACCCUGGAAAAUGAGCGAGGCAUUCAGAAGACAAAUGUCAUUGACUUGAAGCCAUACAGACGAAGGGUAUCUGCUUUCCCAAAAGUGUCAGCCCAUUCUUUGCACACUCUUGGCAUUCUCUCAACCAGCUUCAUGAGGUAGUCACCUGGAAUGAAUUUCAAUUAACAGGAAGGUCAGUCAAUCUGGAAAAUUUCAAGAACUUUGCAAGUUUCUUCAAGCGCAGUUGCAAAAACCAUCAAUAUAGCUAUGAUGAAACUGGCUCUCAUGAGGACCGCCACAGCCCUGUGUUUGUGAGACGCAGAGUAGGUGAACGGAUGAUCUCCGCAUGUGUGGUUCCCACCGUGAAGCAUGGAGGAGAAGGACAAUGACCCAACACACCUCCAGGCUGUGAAAGGGUUAUUUGACCAAGAAGGAGAGUGAUGGAGUGCUGCAUCAGAUGACCUGGCCCGACCUCAGCCCAACACGUUUCCUGAUCUUUCUUAUAUCUCUCAGAUAUUAGAGACAUUUCAGAACAAACUUCCUUUUUAUAUUUUUUGUGACUAUCUGUUGUUCAAUGCGUUCGUAUGGGCUAAUAGAAGUAAGGCCAAACAUUUUUUUUUCAUCAUCAACAAAAAAGUAUAUGAUCCUUGGUAUGACCUUCUUAAAACAAUUCCAUAAUGUUUAGUAGACCACCCCCCUGGCUUAGACAGGGAUUAGACUCUGAUGGGUUCAUAUAUUCAACAGGUAUUUGAUGUGGCAUCCAAGCAGACCAGAGUGUACGACUCAAAGGGCUCCCGCCAAGGCGUCGGGUUAGAGGAUCUGGACUGCUGAGAUUCGAGGUUCACGGCUUUGUGGUGGAGACACAAUAACUUGAUGAGCCAGCAUUGUGGCAUCUUCGUCGAUACCAUGCCUGUCUCUGGCGGAAUAUGCGUUGACAAAGAUGACAUACGACCGAACUCUCGCUCUCCACCUCGGAGUUGAUGCCCUCAUCACUGAGGAAGACAUUGAGGUCAGCUAGCCAACAAUCUCUGCCUCAUCAGAUGUACAUUAUGUUCAACUGUACUCAUCGACAGUGUCGUUUGGUCAGUAAUUUAAUUGCUCUCAACCCACUUCAUUAUAUCCUCACACAUAAUGGGUGUUUCUCAAAAUGCAUGCUAGCGUGCUCCAAGCACUCAAAUUGGAGCACUGGAGGGUCGGAGAAUAAGUCUAAAUCAAAGUAUGCGAAAUGGAGCACGGAGGGCACUUCUCGAAUGUGUACUCCGUUUGUACAUACUUUGAAGCAUGCAUCGAUGCAAGCUUCAACAGAAAGUAUGCAAAGAAAUAUGACGCAACCAAGAAAACAAUUAUGCGAAAUUUGCGGUGAAGCAAGAGAAAAUACACUCCAACUUCAGAAUUAAAUGCUGCCUAUUCACAUCUCCUAUGUUGCCUGACUACAAUAUUUUAUCUUGAUACGUUAAUAAAUACAUGCUGUGUUCAUUUUGGCAUGUUUACCUGCCUACAUACCGUAUAUCACAA